rnacentral:rRNA from 1 species
GAUGAACGCUAGCUACAGGCUUAACACAUGCAAGUCGAGGGGCAGCGGGUUGAAAGCUUGCUUUCAAUGCCGGCGACCGGCGCACGGGUGCGUAACGCGUAUCAAACCUGCCUCAUACUCGGGGAUAGCCUUGCGAAAGUAAGAUUAAUACCCGAUGUUAUUAGUUCAUCGCAUGGUGGGCUAAUCAAAGAUUUAUCGGUAUGAGAUGGUGAUGCGUCCGAUUAGGUAGUAGGCGGGGUAACGGCCCACCUAGCCUUCGAUCGGUAGGGGUUCUGAGAGGAAGGUCCCCCACACUGGAACUGAGACACGGUCCAGACUCCUACGGGAGGCAGCAGUGAGGAAUAUUGGUCAAUGGACGAAAGUCUGAACCAGCCAAGUAGCGUGCAGGAUGACGGCCCUCCGGGUUGUAAACUGCUUUUAGUUGGGAAUAAAAAAAGGGACGUGUCCCUUCUUGUAUGUACCUUCAGAAAAAGGACCGGCUAAUUCCGUGCCAGCAGCCGCGGUAAUACGGAAGGUCCAGGCGUUAUCCGGAUUUAUUGGGUUUAAAGGGAGCGUAGGCGGAUUGUUAAGUCAGCGGUUAAAGGGUGUGGCUCAACCAUACAUUGCCGUUGAAACUGGCGAUCUUGAGUGCAGACAGGGAUGCCGGAAUUCGUGGUGUAGCGGUGAAAUGCUUAGAUAUCACGAAGAACUCCGAUCGCGAAGGCAGGUGUCCGGGCUGCAACUGACGCUGAGGCUCGAAAGUGUGGGUAUCAAACAGG